GACGAACGCUGGCGGCGUGCUUAACACAUGCAAGUCGAACGGACAGACAGAGAGCUUGCUCUCUUGAAGUUAGUGGCGAACGGGUGAGUAACGCGUAAUCAACCUGCCCUUCAGAGGGGGAUAACAACGGGAAACCGUUGCUAAUACCGCGUACGAUUCAUGAACGGCAUCGUUUAUGAAUGAAAGGUGGCCUCUAUGUAUAAGCUAUCGCUGAAGGAGGGGAUUGCGUCUGAUUAGCUAGUUGGAGGGGUAACGGCCCACCAAGGCAAUGAUCAGUAGCCGGUCUGAGAGGAUGAACGGCCACAUUGGGACUGAGACACGGCCCAAACUCCUACGGGAGGCAGCAGUGGGGAAUCUUCCGCAAUGGACGAAAGUCUGACGGAGCAACGCCGCGUGAGUGAUGAAGGUCUUCGGAUUGUAAAGCUCUGUUAAUCGGGACGAAAGAGUUCUGCGUGAAUAAUGCAGAAAAGUGACGGUACCGGAAUAGAAAGCCACGGCUAACUACGUGCCAGCCGCCGCCGUAA
rnacentral:rRNA from 1 species